CCUACGGGUGGCUGCAGUGAGGAAUAUUGGUCAAUGGCCGUAAGGUUGAACCAGCCAAGUCGCGUGAAGGAAGAAGGAUCUAUGGUUUGUAAGCGUCUUUUAUAGGGGAAUAAAGGUAUCCACGGGUGGAUAUUUGCAUGUACCCUAUGAAUAAGCGUCGGCUAACUCCGUUCCAGCAGCCGCGGUAAUACGGAGGAUGCGAGCGUUAUCCGGAUUUGUUGGGUUUAAAGGGUGCGGAGGUUGUUUUUUAAGUCAGCGGUGAAAGUUUGUGGCUCAAACAUACAAUUGCCGUUGAAACUGGAAGACUAGAGUGUGUUUGAGGUAGGCGGAAUGCGUGGUGUAGCGGUGAAAUGCAUAGAUAUCACGCAGAACUCCGAUUGCGAAGGCAGCUUACUAAGCCAUAACUGACACUGAAGCACGAAAGCGUGGGGAGCAAACAGGAUUAGAUACCCCAGUAGUC
rnacentral:rRNA from 1 species